rnacentral:rRNA from 1 species
UACAGAGGUCUCAAGCGUUGUUCGGAUUCAUUGGGCGUAAAGGGUGCGUAGGUGGCGCGCUAAGUCAGGUGUGAAAUUUCGGAGCUUAACUCCGAAACUGCAUUUGAUACUGGCGUGCUUGAGGACUGGAGAGGAGACUGGAAUUCAUGGUGUAGCAGUGAAAUGCGUAGAGAUCAUGAGGAAGACCAGUGGCGAAGGCGGGUCUCUGGACAGUUCCUGACGCUGAGGCGCGAAGGCCAGGGGAGCAAACGGG